rnacentral:rRNA from 1 species
GAUGAACGCUGGCGGCGUGCCUAAUACAUGCAAGUCGAGCGAACAGACGAGGAGCUUACUCCUCUGACGUUAGCGGCGGACGGGUGAGUAACACGUGGAUAACCUACCUAUAAGACUGGGAUAACUUCGGGAAACCGGAGCUAAUACCGGAUAACAUGUUGAACCGCAUGGUUCAACAGUGAAAGACGGUCUUGCUGUCACUUAUAGAUGGAUCCGCGUCGCAUUAGCUAGUUGGUAAGGUAACGGCUUACCAAGGCAACGAUGCGUAGCCGACCUGAGAGGGUGAUCGGCCCCACUGGAACUGAGACACGGUCCAGACUCCUACGGGAGGCAGCAGUAGGGAAUCUUCCGCAAGGGGCGAAAGCCUGACGGAGCAACGCCGCGUGAGUGAAGAAGGUCUUCGGAUCGUAAAACUCUGUUAUUAGGGAAGAACAAAUGUGUAAGUAACUAUGCACGUCUUGACGGUACCUAAUCAGAAAGCCACGGCUAACUACGU